rnacentral:rRNA from 1 species
GUGUACACAAGAUAGAGCUCACAUCAAGUUUUUAUAAACUUUACAAUUAAAUCCACCUUCAAAAGUUAUUUUCAUAAACUUUAUCCGUUUUAGUCUAUUAAAUGUAACCCACCUCUGUCUUUUAUAUAAGCUGCACCUUUACUUGAAGUCAAUGAUACUAAUCAUGAAUGAAAGUUUUCUGAAGAAACUGACUGACAACAGCGGUAUACAAACUGAGUACAAAUAAAAGUAGAGUUAAAUCGUGGAUCAUCGUUUAUAGGGCAGGUUCCUCUAAAUGGCUAUCUUGCCGCCAAAUCCGUUAAAUUUCAUAAUAACUACUAUUCCAAAAUAUUUUACUUAUAAGUA